rnacentral:tRNA from 1 species
GUUGUGGCUCAGAGGUAGAGCAUUUGCCUAGCAUGCGUGAGGCACUGGGUUAGAUACUCAGCACCACA